GUAGACAUAGUUUCAAGCAAAACAUUAGAUUGUGAUUCUAAAAAUAGAAGUUAAAACCCCCUUGUCCACC
rnacentral:tRNA from 1 species